GCCGGGUGUGGUGGUGCAUGCCUGUAAUCCCAGCUACUCUGGAGGCUGAGGCAGGAGAAUUGCUUGAACCCGGGAGGCGGAGGUUGCAGUGAGCUGAGAUCAUGCCACUGCACUCCAGCCUGGGUGACAAAGCAAGACUCCAUCUCAA
rnacentral:sRNA from 1 species